AACUAACGCUGGCGGCGUGCCUAACACAUGCAAGUCGAGCGGACACCACUUUGUAGCAAUACAGAUGAAGUGUUAGCGGCAGACGGGUGAGUAACACGUAGGCAAUCUACCUUUCCGUCCGGGAUAACUAGCCGAAAGGUUAGCUAAUACCAGAUGCGCUCAUCGAACGGCAUCGUUUGAUGAUGAAAGCAGCAAUGCGCGGAUUGAGGAGCCUGCGGCCCAUUAGCUAGUUGGUGAGGUAACGGCCCACCAAGGCAACGAUGGGUAGCUGGUCUGA
rnacentral:rRNA from 1 species